UCUGAUAUGACCUCUCCUGAUUUUAAGUGUUGCUUUAAAUUAAAAACACCAACAAUGCCAUGAAACAAAUCAAACACAUGCCUUCACCAUGCCUGGCUUGUCCCGAGGGCCUCGGAUUUGCAGUUUCUCAGUGCAGCCUAGAGCAGGGUUUCUCAAUCUCAGCACUGUUGACAUUUGGGGAUGGGCAAUUCUUUGUUCUAGGGAGCCACCCUAUGCAUUGUAGGAUGUUGAACUGUAUUCCUGGCCUCUAGAUACCUGUGUAUCCAUCCCUACACCACACCACUCACCUCUGAGUUGUGACAAAAAAAAUUGCCUGUAGACAUUGCCAAUGUCCUCUAGGAGGAAAAUCACCUCCAGAUGAGAACCAGUGGUCUAGAUUAACACAGAUGAACCACUUAAGGGCACCUUAUGACUCAUCUUUCUCUGUUCCUGAGACUGCUGGAGACUGCUGCAUGGGCUCUGGAAAUGGAAUCAAUCUAAGAAAGGAAAAUAUCCAUGCACUUGGAAGAAGGCCCAACUCUCUCAGACUGAUUCCAUUUCUAGAGUCCAUCAGUUCUCACAUUCAAUUCUUCCUUUAUUCUUAUUAAAAUCCUUACCAUAGUCCCCUAUGUCCUUUCACCUACACUAUUGAAAUAAUCUCCUAACUGGCACCCCACACUCAUCUCCCUCUUCUAUAUUCUAUCAGACUAAUCACUGCCAAAUGAUAUUUCAAGACACUUUUUAAAAAUCAUGUUGUCAACCUCAUUCCAUCCCAACCCUCUUUCAAAAAUGUUAAUUAAUGCUUCACUUAACAAAUCAUUGCUAAGGAUCCAACAGUUUAUUCAGGAGCUUAUCAGAAGAGACAUCAUGGCAGUAGAACAGUUGCUCUAGAGUGCCAGGUGCCUGGUUUAAACCUUGGUUCUGCAACAUGGGCUGGCCUCAUCACACCUCCUCUUCUAAUUCUACAUAACUUUACAUCCUUAUUCUUCUCAACUCAUAACCCACCCAUAGUGGCAAAACAGUGUCUGGCCAAGAGCUUAGGCUCCAAGGUAUGCACACUGAUGUUAAAAUUCCUAAGGAGUUCCUUAACCUUUCUGAGCCCCAUUUUUGUCAUCUGUAAAACGGGGAUAAAAAUAACUUCUACAAGGUUGUGGUGAGAAUUAACUGAUGUUUUCCACAUAAAGUACUUGGCACGUUGCAGGCACACAGGCAGCUCUUAAUAAAUGUCAUGUGAUAUUUAUUCUUAUUUUAUCUUCCCCUUGUGAGAUCUUACAGAUCUUGUAAUAUGUGCUGCCUACUUGACACUUCACAUAUAUUGAUUUGGGUUUGUUUUUUGUUUUUGUUUUUGUUUUUGUUUUUGGUGCACACCAAAUACAUAUACUAUUUAUUUUUCUGCUUUGAGUGUGACCUUACUGGGGGCCAGACACAGGUGUUUACUCCUUUUUCAUCCCCACGGUCCUGGCAUAGUGCUAAGAAGAUACUUGGCAAUUAGUAAAUACUAGUUCAGUGGUUCUCAAGAUGUGGUCUGCAGACCAUCACCUGGGAACUUGUUAAAAAUACAAAGUCUUAGGAGCCACUCCAGACCUAUGAAUCAGAAAUUCUGGGUUUGGGGGUCCAGCAACCUGUGUUUUAAUAAGCUCUCUAGGUGAUUUUGAUGCACAUUAAAGUUUGAAAACUUUAAUUCAUGUAUUCAGCAAGUGUCAAUUGAAUGCCUGCUAUGCGUCAGUAAUUUUUAGGAAUUUGGCAUACAACAAUACACAAGA
rnacentral:lncRNA from 10 species